rfam:Arabis alpina cultivar Pajares scaff_55573_1_contig_0, whole genome shotgun sequence.
GGGUGCGAUCAUACCAGCACAAAUGCACCGGAUCCCAUCAGAACACCGUAGUUAAGUGUGCUUGGGCGAGAGUAGU